CGCUCCGCUUGGCACGGGGGGGAGAUGGACGCGAAUAUCAAGACUACCCCGGCUCCACCGAGUCCAGCGCAAUUAUGGGCGAGGCUGGAGCCGGCAGCGCCGCGCGGCAGCCCCCUCCGCCGGGCCCGAGGCGCCUCCCCGAGCCCAAUAAGUUUGCUUAGCACGAGCCUCGCCGACUGCCUGCUCCUGGGCUCGCACCGCGCGGGGCUGCGGCCCGGACCAGGCGGCCGCCGGAGCAGCUGCCCCAGCGGGGCACGGGGCGAGGCGGGGCGAGGAGAUGAGAGGAGAGAAGCCUUGGAGAGCACCGGCGCUUCGCCGGCCGCCGGCACCCGCGACCCGGGGGGAGACGGACGGAGCCGCCGCAACAGAUUCUGCCUAUUCUGAAGAACAACACUUCCCUGCACGAUGCUUCAUCAAAGAAGAAGGAAAAAAAAGAUGAAAAAGAAGAAGGGAUCUACUAAUGCCAGCCUCUGUGUCAGUAUUUGAAGGGGUAACCCUUUACCCUGGUUCAUUGUGCAGUUUCUUUGCUACUUAAUUUUGAAGAGAAUCCUGAUUUUUACAGUG